GUAGGGAAUCUUCCACAAUGGACGAAAGUCUGAUGGAGCAACGCCGCGUGAGUGAAGAAGGUUUUCGGAUCGUAAAACUCUGUUGUUGAAGAAGAACAUGCGUGAGAGUAACUGUUCAUGUAUUGACGGUAUUCAACCAGAAAGCCACGGCUAACUACGUGCCAGCAGCCGCGGUAAUACGUAGGUGGCAAGCGUUGUCCGGAUUUAUUGGGCGUAAAGCGAGCGUAGGCGGUUUAUUAAGUCUGAUGUGAAAGCCCUCGGCUCAACCGAGGAAGUGCAUCGGAAACUGGUAAACUUGAGUGCAGAAGAGGAAAGUGGAACUCCAUGUGUAGCGGUGGAAUGCGUAGAUAUAUGGAAGAACACCAGUGGCGAAGGCGGCUUUCUGGUCUGUAACUGACGCUGAGGUUCGAAAGCGUGGGUAGCAAACAGGAUUAGAAACCCUAGUAGUCC
rnacentral:rRNA from 1 species